rnacentral:rRNA from 1 species
CCUACGGGAGGCAGCAGUGGGGAAUUUUGGACAAUGGGCGAAAGCCUGAUCCAGCAAUGCCGCGUGAGUGAAGAAGGCCUUCGGGUUGUAAAGCUCUUUUGUCAGGGAAGAAACGGUGAGGGCUAAUAUCCCUUGCUAAUGACGGUACCUGAAGAAUAAGCACCGGCUAACUACGUGCCAGCAGCCGCGGUAAUACGUAGGGUGCAAGCGUUAAUCGGAAUUACUGGGCGUAAAGCGUGCGCAGGCGGUUUUGUAAGUCUGAUGUGAAAUCCCCGGGCUCAACCUGGGAAUUGCAUUGGAGACUGCAAGGCUAGAAUCUGGCAGAGGGGGGUAGAAUUCCACGUGUAGCAGUGAAAUGCGUAGAUAUGUGGAGGAACACCGAUGGCGAAGGCAGCCCCCUGGGUCAAGAUUGACGCUCAUGCACGAAAGCGUGGGGAGCAAACAGGAUUAGAUACCCUGGUAGUCCACGCCCUAAACGAUGUCUACUAGUUGUCGGGUCUUAAUUGACUUGGUAACGCAGCUAACGCGUGAAGUAGACCGCCUGGGGAGUACGGUCGCAAGAUUAAAACUCAAAAGGAAUUGACGG